CUUCAUCACAGUUCACUAACUUCUUGGUCACAGGGUUUUCAGAAGGCUUUCACACGGGUAUUGUAGCAUUACCAUUCGGUAUUACCGAAAGUAAAAAUUUACUAUCUGCUGUAAACGACCCAAGUACAGUUGAUUCACUGUUAACACAGGAACUGAAUCAAGGGUUUGUCAUAGACCCCUUUUCCACACCCCCAUUCUCUAGUUGGCAUACAAACCUGAUCGGUAUUGUAACGGGGAAACACUCUUCAAAGAAGAGACUGAUCAUAGAUCUUUCUGCAACUCACUCCUCCACCAUUCCCAGUUUAAAUUCAUUAAUCCCUUCGGAACAAUUCUCAUUGCAGUACACCACGAUAGAUGACACAGUACAAACCAUCAUAGAGGCAGGGAUAGGAGCAUGGUUAAGCAAAUCAGAUAUUAUUAACGCCUUUAAACUGC